UACGUAGGGUGCGAGCGUUAAUCGGAAUUACUGGGCGUAAAGUGUGCGCAGGUGGCCGCGCAAGUCGAGUGUGAAAGCCCCGGGCUUAACUUGGGAAUUGCGCUCGAAACUACGUGGCUAGAGUGUGGCAGAGGGAGGUGGAAUUCCACGUGUAGCGGUGAAAUGCGUAGAGAUGUGGAGGAACACCAAUGGCGAAGGCAGCCUCCUGGGCCAACACUGACACUCAUGCACGAAAGCGUGGGGAGCAAACAGG
rnacentral:rRNA from 3 species